rnacentral:lncRNA from 1 species
CCUAAUAAAAUAAAUUAGUUCUUGAGAAAAUUUGGAGAAUUCAUAAGAAUGGUAGGUAACACUCAAACGUGACAUUUAGAAAAAAGAAACAAAAACUCAACAAAAUAAUCUCGGCGUCCUCUUCCUCCAAAUUGCUUCUGCUGCUCUUGGUUAUGUUCGCGCGGCUGCUGCUUCUCUUCUUCUCGGCUUCUGUUGCAUCGGCUGUUCUUAAUUCUGUGUAUCUCUCGAAAGCUAAAACAAUUGCCUCUCGGGAAGCUAAAACAGUUGCCGCUAGGAAAGCUAAAACAAUUUUAUAUGCAUUAAAUCCAGCCGCAUCGACUUGACAUGCAAUUUCCAGUUAAUUGACACGUCCUGUCACGAAAUCCUAGGUGCUUUAGGAUUAAUUUAGUCCAUCUUUAAAAGCCAAGCCCACUUCUUCUUUAAUUGUUCACGUUCAUACGUGAUUGCCCUGUUAAUAAAAAUAGAUAAUCCCCAAUGCUACUUCUUCACGUCUUCAAGUGAUUGCUUCAAUUGUGGCUUGGCUCCUCGACAUUCUUCCACUUUAAUCUCCUAUUACUUUCCUUAAACUUUCAAUUGAUUUCUUCUUUAAACUCUUCUUACUCAAAUAUUUUCAAAUAUACGUACAGCAAUAAAACACAAGAAUUAAGUUAAAAAUAAAUAAGAAUAAUAAUAAAAACAAAAAUUAGACAUAAAAUUAUGGCAAAUGCUAUGUUACAUUUAAUGUAACAUAGGGGCUCCCUAAAAUUAUAUAAGGCAAGCAUUAUAUUAAUAUAUAAAAUAAGCACAUAAAAUGACGUAAUAAAAAAUGUAAAAAUUAAAUAUGAAAUAAAUCAAUAAUCACAACAAUAGAAUUAAAUAAUACUGAUAACUGCUUAAUUACUUUUCGGGUAUUACAGUGCGGUCCGUUAAAACAUGUAUCCUUACAUUUAGGCCCCCUAGGAAGCAGUCCGUAAGUUUAUAGCAAAUGUCAAGAAAAAUGCCUUGAAUGUGACCGGCGCACUUUGCUAUCCUGCACUCAUUGUCAAUGGAUACAAUUUUGACAUUCAUUUACGAAUUUGAAAUGGGCAAUAAUGCAGCCAAGGAAAAAAUAACGCAGCGGAGCAAAAGUUUGGUGCACUUGAGAUGUCCAGAAUAAAAUGUUCUAAACUUUGGGAGAUCAGGUAAGAAAACUAUCUUUGAAAAAAAAGAGAAUUGGAUAAAGUGUUCA